GAGGAUAAUAGAGACAAUCACAUUACGCGGGAUUCAUACAUGUACUUAUACGCGUUACCGCUCUCUAUAUGUAACGUCAUGGUUGCUAUGUAUUAACGUCAUUGUAUCUUACCAGCAUUAAAUCAUCCAUUUGUAUAGACGUCUUUUUCUCUAUUCAAAACACAACGCAACUACAACUUAUACGAUCACGAGAUUGGUACCGAGACCAGGAUAGAAGAUGGAUUCGUCGAGAAUCAAGUCUAUUCGAGCUGGAAAUAGAGCCGCUGUCACGAAAUUCUUCAAGAAACUAGAUGAGCUGAACACCGAUUCGGAGAUGGAUAUUGACAUUGCAGGUCCAAUUAUUGACGCUAUAGUGAAAAAACAAAGUGUAAUUCUUAAACUGGAUGAACAGAUUUUGGAAAAUACAUCGGAUGAAGAUAUAGAAGUUGAAAUUACAGAUGCAGAUGAGUAUAAUUUAGAUCUUGAAACAAAUUUACGCCGUUAUAAGAAAUUAGCACAAACAGUUACACGUACAUGUACAGAAUUAUCUCAUGAAAGCAUCCCAAACACACGCCCCGUCAUGAACAUGCAUGAAGUCAAUUCCGAGACCCGUCCUGUAAUGAACACAGAAUUCUUCCCAAGAUAUUCAUCGCAAACUACUAAUAGUUCACUGUCUAGUCAAAAUCACCGCUUGCCGAAGCUAACCCUACCUACUUUUUCUGGGGAUAUUCUAGAGUGGCAAUACUUUUGGGAGUCGUUUGAAAACACAAUUCACAGCAAUCAUACACUUACUGAUGUCCAGAAAUUCACGUACCUACAGUCACUUCUUGAUGCAGACGCUAUGAAUGUCAUAAAUGGUUUAAACUUGUCCAGCGCAAACUAUCACAAAGCCGUGGAGUUAUUAGUAAAUCGCUUUGGGAAAACACACAAGAUUGUGAACGCUUAUAUGAAAGCUCUUUUAGAUUUGCCAGCACCCUCAUACACAUUAGAUAGUAUUCGUAAUUUUUCGGAUAAGUCAGAGGUUUAUAUCCGUGGAUUGGAAUCUUUAGGACAGUGCCAAGAUACGUAUGGUUCCCUGUUAAUCCCAGUUAUGCUUGGUAAGCUCCCUAUUGCCGUAAAAAGUAAUAUCACAAGGGAAAACGGAAACGACGACUGGACUCUAGGAAAUCUUAGAAAGGCAAUACAACGUGAAAUAUUGAUUCAAGAAGCUAGCACUAAUGAUAGUGCGUCUUAUGAUAUACCUACCGCAAGUUUCCAUGCCGGCAUUGGUAAGAAAAAUGGGAAUUACGUAAAUAAAUCAAAAUCUAAAAACUAUUCUCAAAGUAAGAUGUGCAUUUAUUGCAAUGAUCAACAUUUCCCUGCAGAAUGUAAAAAGUUCACCGACAGCAAAUCUAGAAUGGAGAUUGUAAAGAAGAGAAACCUAUGUUUCAAUUGUUUAGGUAACCAUAGAAUAUCAGAAUGUAAGUCGAAAAACACAUGCCGUACAUGUAAACGUAAACACCACACUAGUUUAUGCCAUGAAUCUUCAAGUCAAAAUUCACAAAGUCAGAAUAUUACAAGUAAUACAGAAAACGGCACGCCAAUCAUGCAUACAUCUGCUAAACAGGAAAACUCGACCGUCUUUUUGAAAACAGCAGUAGCACCCAUAUGGUCACAGAAUCAGUGCGCUGACGCUCACAUACUUUUCGACGAAGGAGCGCAACGAUCAUUUAUGACGCAGGAAAUAGCCGACAAGUUGAACGUCAAGCCAGACGGACAGGAAACCCUCAACAUAUCCGCCUUCGGAAAUUCUGACAAGAAUGUUCGUCACAUGAGUAAAGCCACAGUGUAUUUAGAAGCAGACUCAGGAGAGAAAAUACCUUUACAGG
rnacentral:lncRNA from 1 species